GCCCCGGUAGCUCAUCGGUAGAGCGCCUGUCUCGUAAACAGGAGGCAGAGGGUUCAAUUCCCUCUCGGGGCUC
rnacentral:tRNA from 1 species